rnacentral:rRNA from 1 species
GACGAACGCUGGCGGCGUGCCUAAUACAUGCAAGUAGAACGCUGAAGGAGGAGCUUGCUUCUCUGGAUGAGUUGCGAACGGGUGAGUAACGCGUAGGUAACCUGCCUGGUAGCGGGGGAUAACUAUUGGAAACGAUAGCUAAUACCGCAUAAUAGUAGAUGUUGCAUGACAUUUGCUUAAAAGGUGCAAUUGCAUCACUACCAGAUGAACCUGCGUUGUAUUAGCUAGUUGGUGGGGUAACGGCUCACCAAGGCGACGAUACAUAGCCGACCUGAGAGGGUGAUCGGCCACACUGGGACUGAGACACGGCCCAGACUCCUACGGGAGGCAGCAGUAGGGAAUCUUCGGCAAUGGACGGAAGUCUGACCGAGCAACGCCGCGUGAGUGAAGAAGGUUUUCGGAUCGUAAAGCUCUGUUGUAAGAGAAGAACGAGUGUGAGAGUGGAAAGUUCACACUGUGACGGUAUCUUACCAGAAAGGGACGGCUAACUACGUG